rnacentral:misc_RNA from 1 species
UGGUGAUUAUCGUGGAAAAACUCUGGACUUUGAUUCAGUCUUGCUGCUUGUUAUUCGGAGCUUUCAAAGUAUUGAGAAACUUUAGAAAUCAGUUUUCUGAAAUAUUUCAUCUAAAGGAACUCUAAAUCUUGAUAUUUUUAUUUUCAGUACCUGUGCACUACUCUGUGAAACUAUCUUCGCACCGCCUCAUUCCCAUCACUUUAGUAUCUGUGCAUUGCCCUCUGAGCUCAACUUCAUUCCGUUUUA